rnacentral:rRNA from 1 species
CCUACGGGUGGCAGCAGUGGGGAAUAUUGGGCAAUGGGCGCAAGCCUGACCCAGCAACGCCGCGUGAAGGAAGAAGGCUUUCGGGUUGUAAACUUCUUUUAAGAGGGAAGAGCAGAAGACGGUACCUCUUGAAUAAGCCACGGCUAACUACGUGCCAGCAGCCGCGGUAAUACGUAGGUGGCAAGCGUUGUCCGGAUUUACUGGGUGUAAAGGGCGUGCAGCCGGGAAGACAAGUCAGAUGUGAAAUCCCGCGGCUCAACCGCGGAACUGCAUUUGGAACUGUCAUGCUAGAGUGUCGGAGAGGCAGGCGGAAUUCCUAGUGUAGCGGUGAAAUGCGUAGAUAUUAGGAGGAACACCAGUGGCGAAGGCGGCCUGCUGGACGAUGACUGACGUUGAGGCUCGAAAGCGUGGGGAGCAAACAGGAUUAGAUACCCUUGUAGUC